AUGAGACUGAAGCAAGACGAUGUUGGGGCGACCGUGCCGUCGUCGGCGCCGUGCGUGUCUUCUUUGACGUCGCCGCCGUCGCCGCCACUGCCGGCGGUGGUCAUGCCCCAUGAGGCGCUACCGUACGUUGAUGAGCGGCAGAUGGUCGAGCCAUUCCUGGCGGAGGAUCUCGGCAGCAACGAUCUCAUCACCGCGGCUGAUCUCGCCAACCUGCCUUUGCCGUCCUUGGAUGACAAAUUGGACUUCAGUUCAGGUGAUUGGUCGCUCGCUAGUUCCGGAUUACAGUGA
rnacentral:rRNA from 1 species